rnacentral:antisense_RNA from 1 species
CAGUAAUGACCAGACACAUCACACCCGCCUUCUAGAAGCCCUCCCUCACAAACCGGAUCAACUGCUAUGAUAAAGGCUCUGUGAUGCAAGCAGAGGAGAUGGUCAGCAGGCAGUCGGGCAGGGAGAGACCCAUGCUGGAGAGGGAUCUGGAAUUUCCAGUGUGUAGGUGGUGAGUGAGAAGCUGAAGAAGACAAUAAUGAUGCAGACUUUGGAAGCCAUUCUGGACUCCCUGCUUCAGGAACUGCAAGUUUGAUCUAGUGAAAGUCUCUUGCUUUCUUUGCUCUUUAGGAUUAGGCAGUGGAACAGUCCUUGUGAUCCUGAAGUUAGCAAUGCCCCAGCCUCCUUCUUUCAACACCAGCUCUCACUUCUUGUCUUAGAUUGCUUUGCACCUUCCUCUCCCUUAGUUGAUGUCAGGACCUGAAUAUAUUUGAUAGUGAUUUGAACCACUGAUGCUACAAAUGAAAGAGAUUGAUGCUGGGCCCUGGGACCAGGACAUGUGACAGACCCAGAGUCCUUCAGGGCUGAUGGGCAUGUGCUGGGACUGACACAGGCUAGCAUCUCCCGAGAAGAUGGAAGGACAAGCAACUCCAAUGGGGAUGACAUUGAUGACUCUUCCACCUCUCCUGGUAACCUCCCCAUGCCCAUCAUGUUGUUGCACCUCUGACAGUACUUGGAGAGGUACCAAAACGAGGGGCAGUACUUGGGAGGAC